rnacentral:rRNA from 1 species
UACGUAGGGUGCAAGCGUUGUCCGGAAUUAUUGGGCGUAAAGAGCUCGUAGGCGGUUUGUCGCGUCUGCUGUGAAAACCCGAGGCUCAACCUCGGGCCUGCAGUGGGUACGGGCAGACUAGAGUGCGGUAGGGGAGAUUGGAAUUCCUGGUGUAGCGGUGGAAUGCGCAGAUAUCAGGAGGAAACACCAAUGGCGAAGGCAGAUCUCUGGGCCUAACUGACGCUGAGGAGCGAAAGCAUGGGGGAGCGAAACAGG